rfam:Gossypium raimondii Chr08_contig_784, whole genome shotgun sequence.
UGUUAAAAGUUUCAUCCAUUUCUACUGUUAAAAGCUAACAUGGCUAGCAAAAUAACCAAAUAGUUACACGUGGCUUGCCACAUGUACUUCAUGUUGAUGUAUAGGGAUAGUUUUUAAUAGUAUAAAUGGAUGAAAUUUGUAAUA